AGCGAACGCUGGCGGCAGGCUUAACACAUGCAAGUCGAGCGGGCACUUUCGGGUGUCAGCGGCUGACGGGUGGGUAACGCGUGGGAACGUGCCCUCUGGUUCGGAAUAACUCAGGGAAACUUGAGCUAAUACCGGAUACGCCCUUUUGGGGAAAGGCUUGCUGCCGGAGGAUCGGCCCGCGUCUGAUUAGCUAGUUGGUGAGGUAACGGCUCACCAAGGCGACGAUCAGUAGCUGGGCUGAGAGGAUGAUCAGCCACACUGGGACUGAGACACGGCCCAGACUCCUACGGGAGGCAGCAGUGGGGAAUAUUGGACAAUGGGCGCAAGCCUGAUCCAGCCAUGCCGCGUGAGUGAUGAAGGCCUUAGGGUUGUAAAGCUCUUUUAUCCGGGACGAUAAUGACGGUACCGGAGGAAUAAGCCCCGGCUAACUUCGUG
rnacentral:rRNA from 1 species